ACCUGGGCUGUAACAAGCCCGGCCCACAGCGCCCCACUGUGAGACUGAGAACCCGAGAACCACACCGGACACACCUCUCAGCCCCAGCGACCAAAUCCGCCACCGCGCCGCCGCCGCCGGAAGGAAGGAAGAGAGCCCCGCAGCGCGCGAUGAACACCGACAUCACCGCGUCGGUGAAGCCGGAGUACCCGGUGGUGGACCGGAACCCCGCCUUCACCAAAGUCGUCGCCAACUUCUCCACGCUCGACUACCUCCGCCUCUCCACCAUCUCCGCCGUCUCCGUCACCGUCGGCUACCUCUCCGGUUUGCUGCUAGAUGACCUUCUUGGUGCUGAAACAACAAGCAGCUGCAGCUGCUGCUACAUGCAAGCUGGAGGAGCACCUGGCAUAUUUGCUUACAAUGAUGAACAAACAGGGCAAAUGACUACAGAAACAACUGCGGAUGGAGAAGUGGUUCUUGGAACCCCAGUUGCUUCUCCUGUUAGAUAAUGGGGAUGUGCAUACUGAUAUCAGCCCUGAGAAUGCUGUGGUCCAGGGACAGAGGUUUGCAUUACUUCUGUCCUAGACUUGUGCUGCCAUCUUUCUUUGCACGGUCUUCUGUUCAUAAUAAAUGUGAUCUACCAUGUGUUUCGAACUUAAUUUUUUUGUGUGCGCAGAAGAUCGAGCAAAUGUGUUGAUUACUUGGUUGAAGCAUCUGCUGCAGAGGUUGGGCGAUCACUGCUACUUUAGCUGCUAUAAAGGCGACACAAGUUAAAUGGGCCUGGCUACAUGGUGAUGGUGAGGAACGGCAAAGAAAUCUAUGCAUGAGGUUUAUUUUGAAUUUCCAGUGUCUUUGAGAAGGAUUAAACUUGUCUGUCGUUGCACCGUUACCUGGUACUAGCAUGCAUGGUGAUCUGUAUGUAUGUAAGCUGUUGUUGAACCAGAAGCAGUAAGCUGGUUGCUGCCUUCAUGUUUGAGUUCUUUAUAUAUGCAAGUCGAGCAAUUGUCAGUUGGGUGAAGGUACAUGCUCUGUAAAAUUGUUUGCUCCGAUUUUUGAAACAAUGUUCACCGUAUGAUCCUAACCCUAACUG